rnacentral:rRNA from 1 species
CAGGGUUUGAUCCUGGCUCAGAGUGAACGCUGGCGGUAGGCCUAACACAUGCAAGUCGAACGGCAGCACAGGAGAGCUUGCUCUCUGGGUGGCGAGUGGCGGACGGGUGAGGAAUACAUCGGAAUCUACUUUUUCGUGGGGGAUAACGUAGGGAAACUUACGCUAAUACCGCAUACGACCUACGGGUGAAAGCAGGGGAUCUUCGGACCUUGCGCGAUUGAAUGAGCCGAUGUCGGAUUAGCUAGUUGGCGGGGUAAAGGCCCACCAAGGCGACGAUCCGUAGCUGGUCUGAGAGGAUGAUCAGCCACACUGGAACUGAGACACGGUCCAGACUCCUACGGGAGGCAGCAGUGGGGAAUAUUGGACAAUGGGCGCAAGCCUGAUCCAGCCAUACCGCGUGGGUGAAGAAGGCCUUCGGGUUGUAAAGCCCUUUUGUUGGGAAAGAAAUCCAGCUGGUUAAUACCCGGUUGGGAUGACGGUACCCAAAGAAUAAGCACCGGCUAACUUCGUGCCAGCAGCCGCGGUAAUACGAAGGGUGCAAGCGUUACUCGGAAUUACUGGGCGUAAAGCGUGCGUAGGUGGUCGUUUAAGUCCGUUGUGAAAGCCCUGGGCUCAACCUGGGAACUGCAGUGGAUACUGGACGACUAGAGUGUGGU